UACGUAUGGUGCGAGCGUUAAUCGGAAUUACUGGGCGUAAAGCGUGCGCAGGCGGUUAUGCAAGACAGAUGUGAAAUCCCCGGGCUCAACCUGGGAACUGCAUUUGUGACUGCAUGGCUAGAGUGCGGCAGAGGGGGAUGGAAUUCCGCGUGUAGCAGUGAAAUGCGUAGAUAUGCGGAGGAACACCGAUGGCGAAGGCAAUCCCCUGGGCCUGCACUGACGCUCAUGCACGAAAGCGUGGGGAGCAAACAGG
rnacentral:rRNA from 1 species